UUAAGUCGGAUGUGAAAGCCCCGGGCUCAACCUGGGAAUUGCAUCCGAUACUGAAAAGCUAGAGUACGUGAGAGGGGGGUAGAAUUCCAAGUGUAGCGGUGAAAUGCGUAGAGAUUUGGAGGAAUACCAGUGGCGAAGGCGGCCCCCUGGCACGAUACUGACGCUCAGGUGCGAAAGCGUGGGGAGCAAACAGGAUUAGAUACCCUGGUAGUCCACGCCGUAACCGAUGUCUACUAGAUGUUCGAGGUCUUGUACUUUGAG
rnacentral:rRNA from 1 species